rnacentral:tRNA from 1 species
GCCUCAGUAGCUCAGUGGUAGAGCGUCUGUUUCGUAAACAGAAGGUCGGGGGUUCAAUCCCCUCCUGGGGC